rnacentral:rRNA from 1 species
CCUACGGGGGGCAGCAGUGGGGGAUAUUGCACAAUGGAGGGAACUCUGAUGCAGCGACGCCGCGUGAGGGAAGAAGGUUUUCGGAUUGUAAACCUCUGUCUUCGGUGACGAAACGAGACGGUAGCCGAGGAGGAAGCCACGGCUAACUACGUGCCAGCAGCCGCGGUAAUACGUAGGUGGCAAGCGUUGUCCGGAAUUACUGGGUGUAAAGGGAGCGUAGGCGGGAAAGCAAGUUGAAUGUUUAAGGUACGGGCUCAACCUGUACAAGCGUUCAAAACUGUUUUUCUUGAGUGGAGUAGAGGUAAGCGGAAUGCCUAGUGUAGCGGUGAAAUGCGUAAAUAUUAGGAGGAACACCGAUUGCGAAGGCAGCUUACCAAGCUACUUCUGACGUUGAGGCACGAAAGCGUGGGGAGCAAACAGGAUUAGAUACCCUUGUAGUC